rnacentral:misc_RNA from 1 species
CUGAUUUACCUCCCCUUUUGCUGAGCUUUCCAUUGUACUAUAGUUGUUGUAUUGAAUUUUGUGAGCAUUUUUUUAUUAUCAUAGACAUUCUUUAAAAUCAGAUAUUGAAUGUUUCAUUAUCAUAAUAUACUGACAAUAUACAAGUUACCCAGUCUUAUUGUACAAUAAAUUCAGACCAAUAAUGGAAUUCAUUGGCCAUCUGCAGACUGAACAAUUUGCAUACAUCUAUAGCAGCUCCUUCAAAAGACAUUUGUACAAUUUUACCAUUAUAUGGUGCCUAGUAAACAGCAGUAUGAAGUGAAAUUGAAGUGAAGUUGCCUAUUUACACUUGUAUUUAUUACCAAACUGUAUAGUCAAAUGUUAUAAAGUAAACUUUGGUUAAUGCUUUGAAGGCUGUGAAUGGUACAUCAAUUCGAGGCAUCUUUAUAUUAGAUAUUAAAGGAGAUUACACCAACAUUUUGUAAAAUCAAAAUUUCAAGGGGAAAGAACACUGAAUCCCUGCUAAUUAUUGUUAUAUAUUUUGAUCUACUGAUAAUAUACAUAACAUCUCCAAUUAAUUACUUUCCAAGAGUCUUGUCAAAUUUGUUUUGUAUCCAAUAAUUGAACAAUGAUGCAUGUGCCUGUAUUUUUUGUUUAUAAAUUUUUUUAUCAGCCCACCUUAAACAGCCAAGAAAUUGAGUGGGUUACAUAUGAAUCGUUCUUUAGAACAGCUGAGAAGCACCACAUUUCUAUGUAUGUCGUACAUUGUACAUUGUGACAAUCCACAAUGACAGUGUUGAUAACUUUUAGAACAAAACAAAUAAAAAUAAUUUUUCUAACC